GACGAACCGUGCGAACGUUGUUCGGAUUCACUGGGCUUAAAGGGCGCGUAGGCGGCUGGCCAAGUCAGGGGUGAAAUCUUUCGGCUCAACCGGAAACGUGCCCCUGAUACUGGCCGGCUUGAGGAGGGUAGGGGCGGAUGGAACUUCCGGUGGAGCGGUGAAAUGCGUAGAUAUCGGAAGGAACGCCGGUGGCGAAAGCGAUCCGCUGGACCCUUUCUGACGCUGAGGCGCGAAAGCCAGGGGAGCGAACGGG
rnacentral:rRNA from 1 species